rnacentral:lncRNA from 1 species
UCCCAACCUUACAUCCACUUACUCAUUCUCUCCCAACAUAUACCUUAUGCAUCCACAGCCGCUCCUACACCUGUAUUCACCAUCCAAUUCUUAUACAUAAACACACAACUGUUGACAUGCAUGCAAUAUGUUCCCCUUUGAAAUGUAUUUUCAGUGUCCAUGUAGCCCAUUGUCAUCGGCUACUUCUACUGAUAAGUCAGAGAAGUUAUUUGGAGAAAGUAGGGUAGAUUUAUUUUGGGGGAGAGGGAAAGGAUAUUGUCUCAAUUUACAAUAAACUGGUCUUAAGAGUCACUGUAGCCUAGUGCACUCGUUGCUUUUUCCUACUUCGUCCUUUCCUCAGAGCACUGGGAAGGUUUCUUGUAGCUGGAUUAGGGCUUCAUCGGCACUUGUGAAUUCCAUUUUUGCGUUGUUCCCUUCAAUACCUACAGCAAUGCCGGGAACCGGAACAGAGUCUUGAUCCCCUUUUCCUUCAGUGACUGAUCAGAAUAUAUUCCUUGCGUCCCUCUCAGCCUAGGAGAAGUCAUGGACGACUCAAAUAGGAGGAUUAACUCAUGGAUACCAUUUUUAGAUCUCUGCGUGCAUUUUGAAGGAAGUGUAAGGUAGAGACGCCUGUUAGCAAUUGCGCAAACGCUAGCUGGCAACUUAAAAUUGCACGCAGAGCCAUACAAUUUUUUUUUGAAAAUGGUAUCAAUUAAUCUGACUCUGGGUAAGUAGAAAAAGAGUGAGAUUUUGGCAAUCAAGCCAUCUUUUUAAGCCUAGUCAGUCCUUUCAGGUCUGAACUGUGAAUGGAUAGGGUCUGAUAUUGAACUGAAAUACUUACCAGUGCUGCAAGAAAUGACCAAGUCCACCAUCAUGACUACCAAUCCUGCCUGGAGAACAGUAUUGGAUGGACCACCGCCACACCGUUCACCAAGAAGUAAAGAAUGGAGUCGAGUGAAACACCAGCCUCCCCUGGCUGAGGUGAAACACCAGCCUCCCCUGGCUGAGGUGGAACACCUAGCUGCUAUAGUGGCAAAAUUACAAACUCUUAUGCAGAUCAUUUGUAUAAACCUUACACCUGUCAAUUUCCACUGUCUGUUUCUCUCAUGUAAGAAGAAGCCUGUGUCCCCCCCCUCUUGUUUCUGAGUAACUUACUGUAAUCACCUGGCCAAAGACAAAGGGCUGUCAGAGUGACCAGUUAUUUGGUCCAUCCUGUUGCUUUCCUAUCUUUCAAGGGCACAGCUGUGGAGAUAUGAAGAGAAAAGGCUAGUUUGAGCAGCAGAAACAAUUCCAUCAGCAGAAAGGAGCAACUAAACUGCCAUUAUCACUUGUUUCUAUGCUCCCACUAUGACCUCACACACCUGCUAAACUGCCACAGACAAAAAGAGACCCAACUCUUGUUUGUUGGGCUCUUCACUGUUGCACCUGUCAUGUGAUUGUUAACCAGCUCCAUUUUUGCAAAUCUUAUAAUAAAAUAAGUUGGAAUCUAUAAUCUUGCUCUUCCUUUCUGGUUAGAAUUUCAACACCACUGAGGCUCAGAGGAACAUGGCAGUCAGCUGCUGCCCCUCCUGCAAGGUAGAUGUGGCAAAGUUAUGGGCCCGAUGAGGGCACAGAAGACAGGGCAUGAAAUCCAACUGGGCACCCAGGAUGGUACUGGGAACACAAACUGGUGUAUAGCUCAUCUAAAAGAGC